CAUUGAUAUUGUUAAAUAUUUCACGACUGCUCAAAUUGGACAUCGUACCAGAUUCGGACUUCUCGUUCAUCAUGUCUGCAGUCAAGAAUUAAUCAUUGACCAACUGUUUUAAAAUAACAACAGAGCAGAUAAAGAAUAUAUCUUUAAACAUAUAAAGUAUCAUAAGGCGAGUUCCAGACAAUAAAAAUGGCGAGAAAUUAUAAGAAUUGAAACAGACUAACUUUUAUUAGGAUUUUUAUCGUUAAAUAGUUAUUCCUAUAAAUUCGAUAUUUCGAAUAUUUGCUUUUGAUUUUACUUCGAUCUGCUCUAUCACAUAAAAAAUACAUUAUAAGUGUAUUGUAAUGCAACGUGCGAAUAACAUUAAAAGAUAACCACAUAAAUUAAAGGAUGUAAAUAAAAAAAAGCAACUUUGGAUUGUAUUAAAAAUAAAUUUAUAUUUACAAGCAAGGAAAAAAUAAUAAUUACUAAUAAAACGUUUUAUGAAUCGUAAGCAUAAUAGGAUCAAAGACAAAUUCAUGAUAAAUCGAUUGUAUACAAAUAAUUCGAAUUUACGAUUAUUUUAUUAUAUUCACAUUUAAAAUCUGAAAUUCGUUUGACAAAAUAAAUAUUAUAAAUUACCUGUUAUUAAUAGUAAGUACGUAAAGUUUUGAAAUCUUAAUAAAGAAAACGGUUAACAACAUUAGUAUUGCAAAACUGUUUCUCGCAUUAUGUAGAAUAUUUUUUUUUGGCAAGACAAAAAGUAUGUACGUUCAUUUGUAUGCAAAUUAUUUUAUAAUUAUAAUUAGCUUAAAUCUUUUGUAAAGAUAUUGAACCUCUUCUUCUAUCGAUAUUAUUUUCUUACAAUCUUUUUCACAAAUGCCAUCAUAAAGGAAAUUUCUUAUAAUGAAACGUAGAAAAUUAAGAAAGAAAGCAUAAAUAAUAACAUAUGACAUGAAAGAAACAAUGCGUUAACUCUCAAUAUAUGACUAACAUUUACUAUAUUAAUAUCUUCUUAUAAACUAAAACGAAAUUAACUUUGGCAGUCGAAUCCAAAUAAUGGACUACGUGCAUCGCAUCUAAAUGUAAUGUUUCUAAUAUUCUAUCAUAGGACACAGUAAAUUUGGCAAGGAUUACGAUGUACAUAAAAGCACAUGUUUUUGUACGCGGUUUCGGUGAAAAUGCAUAUUGCGGAUAGAUUUUCGCGAUAACAAUAGGUCAAAAAUUAAAAAGGUAUAACAAAACAUAAUUGUAACAAAAAAUUUAAAAAACUACGAGGUAAUAAUUUUUUCAAGUGAAUAAGUAACACUCGAUAGAUCUGAAAAACUUAUUCGAUAAACUAACAAAGUAAGAUAACAUGAUCAUUACGGAUUUUUAUGAUUCUAUUACACAUACUGGUAACAUUGCUUAUAAUAAAUCGUACGUUGACACAAUCAUCUGAAUAUUUCGAUUCAUUAAAUUCUACAAUAUAACAUAAUAUAUCACUACGUAACAAUGAUAUACUGUUUAUUUAAUUGCGCAUCUAAAAUAUGAAAAUAUACUAUAUAAUACAUAACUUUAUCGUUCAAAUAUAUACUAAAAAGACAGUUGAUAUGAUACGAUAUCGUUAGAAUAUCAUGCACAUGCAAAAGACACUUUGAACAUAAAAACGUCUUGCGACAUGCAUGUACAAUAGAAAAUUAAUGCUAUUGGAUAGAGCGUAAGCAGGAUAUUUUAAGUUACUAAAAGAGUACCGCUUUUUUCUUAUAUAUUAUCUCUUAUUUUUUGUGGAGCGAGUUAUAAAAACUGACUUGUUCGCCUUCGUUUUUUGAAUGUGAUAAUUUCUUAUUGAUAAUCAAGAACGAUGACUAUAAUAAUAUGAAGAUUAAAUAAGGAACAUGUUUAUGAAUAUUUAAUGUUUUUUUCACGAUAUAACGCAGCAACACUUUUGGCACUUACUUUCUUUUCUAACGAUAUUAUUCUUGCAACUUUCUGCAUCAGAUUUAUAUGCUUUUAAGUUAAUGUCCUCUGUAUGAUCGUUUUGACUUUGUACAGAAUUACUUCUUGCAACUUGUUGUGAACCUAUUAUUUCACUUUUGCUAUCAAA